rnacentral:misc_RNA from 1 species
UUGAAAUUCCUGCAGAAAAUUUGUUUUCUUUUCCUGGAAUUUUGUUGGAUAUCUAGAACAACUUGUUUAUAAAAUAGUUGCCGACUUCGCGCGAAGCAAAACAACUUGUUGGUUUUUUAUUUGUGGCCAACGACAGGUCGUUAAACUGUGUUUUUAGCGUUUUUGCCCUUAUUCCUUGAGCCCUUGUGUUGCGGGGUCUCCUAGCCGGCGAUGGCUAUUCCCAAGCUUUUAUUGUCUCACCUCCGCCGUUCUCGUCCCCUCUCCUCUCUUAACACUCCCUCUUAUGCCUGUGUUUCUCACCUCCUCACAAAUCUUAGCCCGCUCCUCUCACCUCCUCCUAUUCCCUCUCACAACCCCCACGG